rnacentral:rRNA from 1 species
AGCGAACGCUGGCGGCAGGCUUAACACAUGCAAGUCGAGCGGGCACUUUCGGGUGUCAGCGGCGGACGGGUGAGUAACGCGUGGGAACGUGCCCUCUGGUUCGGAAUAACUCAGGGAAACUUGAGCUAAUACCGGAUACGCCCUUUUGGGGAAAGGCUUGCUGCCGGAGGAUCGGCCCGCGUCUGAUUAGCUAGUUGGUGAGGUAACGGCUCACCAAGGCGACGAUCAGUAGCUGGUCUGAGAGGAUGAUCAGCCACACUGGGACUGAGACACGGACCCGAAUGCUACGGGAGGCAGCAGUGGAGAAUAUUGGACACUGAGCGCAAGCCUGAUCAAGCCAUGCCGCGUGAGUGAUGAAGGCCUUAGGGUUGUAAAGCUCUUUUAUCCGGGACGAUAAUGACGGUACCGGAGGAAUAAGCCCCGGCUAACUUCGUG